rnacentral:piRNA from 1 species
UGGCUCCACUGUGCUCGCUCUGCCCCCU